GGGUUGUGAGGUUAAGCGACUAAGCGUACACGGUGGAUGCCCUGGCAGUCAGAGGCGAUGAAGGACGUGCUAAUCUGCGAAAAGCGUCGGUAAGGUGAUAUGAACCGUUACAGCCGGCGAUGUCCGAAUGGGGAAACCCAGUGCAAUUCGUUGCACUAUCGUUAACUGAAUACAUAGGUUAACGAGGCGAACCGGGGGAACUGAAACAUCUAAGUACCCCGAGGAAAAGAAAUCAACCGAGAUUCCCCCAGUAGCGGCGAGCGAACGGGGAGCAGCCCAGAGUCUGAAUCAGCUUGUGUGUUAGUGGAACGGUCUGGAAAGUCCGACGGUACAGGGUGAUAGUCCCGUACACCAAAAUGCACAGGCUGUGAACUCGAAGAGUAGGGCGGGACACGUGGUAUCCUGUCUGAAUAUGGGGGGACCAUCCUCCAAGGCUAAAUACUCCUGACUGACCGAUAGUGAACCAGUACCGUGAGGGAAAGGCGAAAAGAACCCCGGCGAGGGGAGUGAAAAAGAACCUGAAACCGUGUACGUACAAGCAGUGGGAGCACCUUCGGGUGUGACUGCGUACCUUUUGUAUAAUGGGUCAGCGACUUAUAUUCUGUAGCAAGGUUAACCGUAUAGGGGAGCCGCAGGGAAACCGAGUCUUAACUGGGCGUUAAGUUGCAGGGUAUAGACCCGAAACCCGGUGAUCUAGCCAUGGGCAGGUUGAAGGUUGGGUAACACUAACUGGAGGACCGAACCGACUAAUGUUGAAAAAUUAGCGGAUGACUUGUGGCUGGGGGUGAAAGGCCAAUCAAACCGGGAGAUAGCUGGUUCUCCCCGAAAGCUAUUUAGGUAGCGCCUCGUGAAUUCAUCUUCGGGGGUAGAGCACUGUUUCGGCUAGGGGGUCAUCCCGACUUACCAACCCGAUGCAAACUACGAAUACCGAAGAAUGUUAUCACGGGAGACACACGGCGGGUGCUAACGUCCGUCGUGAAGAGGGAAACAACCCAGACCGCCAGCUAAGGUCCCAAAGUCAUGGUUAAGUGGGAAACGAUGUGGGAAGGCACAGACAGCCAGGAUGUUGGCUUAGAAGCAGCCAUCAUUUAAAGAAAGCGUAAUAGCUCACUGGUCGAGUCGGCCUGCGCGGAAGAUGUAACGGGGCUAAACCAUGCACCGAAGCUGCGGCAGCGACACUAUGUGUUGUUGGGUAGGGGAGCGUUCUGUAAGCCUGCGAAGGUGACCUGUGAGGGUUGCUGGAGGUAUCAGAAGUGCGAAUGCUGACAUAAGUAACGAUAAAGCGGGUGAAAAGCCCGCUCGCCGGAAGACCAAGGGUUCCUGUCCAACGUUAAUCGGGGCAGGGUGAGUCGACCCCUAAGGCGAGGCCGAAAGGCGUAGUCGAUGGGAAACAGGUUAAUAUUCCUGUACUUGGUGUUACUGCGAAGGGGGGACGGAGAAGGCUAUGUUAGCCGGGCGACGGUUGUCCCGGUUUAAGCAUGUAGGCUGGUUAUCCAGGCAAAUCCGGAUAAUCAAGGCUGAGGUGUGAUGACGAGGCACUACGGUGCUGAAGUAACAAAUGCCCUGCUUCCAGGAAAAGCCUCUAAGCAUCAGGUAACAUCAAAUCGUACCCCAAACCGACACAGGUGGUCAGGUAGAGAAUACCAAGGCGCUUGAGAGAACUCGGGUGAAGGAACUAGGCAAAAUGGUGCCGUAACUUCGGGAGAAGGCACGCUGGUGUGUAGGUGAAGUCCCUGCGGAUGGAGCUGAGACCAGUCGAAGAUACCAGCUGGCUGCAACUGUUUAUUAAAAACACAGCACUGUGCAAACACGAAAGUGGACGUAUACGGUGUGACGCCUGCCCGGUGCCGGAAGGUUAAUUGAUGGGGUUAUCCGUAAGGAGAAGCUCUUGAUCGAAGCCCCGGUAAACGGCGGCCGUAACUAUAACGGUCCUAAGGUAGCGAAAUUCCUUGUCGGGUAAGUUCCGACCUGCACGAAUGGCGUAAUGAUGGCCAGGCUGUCUCCACCCGAGACUCAGUGAAAUUGAACUCGCUGUGAAGAUGCAGUGUACCCGCGGCAAGACGGAAAGACCCCGUGAACCUUUACUAUAGCUUGACACUGAACAUUGAGCCUUGAUGUGUAGGAUAGGUGGGAGGCUUUGAAGCGUGGACGCCAGUCUGCGUGGAGCCAACCUUGAAAUACCACCCUUUAAUGUUUGAUGUUCUAACGUUGGCCCCUUACCGGGGUUGCGGACAGUGUCUGGUGGGUAGUUUGACUGGGGCGGUCUCCUCCCAAAGCGUAACGGAGGAGCACGAAGGUUAGCUAAUCCUGGUCGGACAUCAGGAGGUUAGUGCAAUGGCAUAAGCUAGCUUGACUGCGAGCGUGACGGCGCGAGCAGGUGCGAAAGCAGGUCAUAGUGAUCCGGUGGUUCUGAAUGGAAGGGCCAUCGCUCAACGGAUAAAAGGUACUCCGGGGAUAACAGGCUGAUACCGCCCAAGAGUUCAUAUCGACGGCGGUGUUUGGCACCUCGAUGUCGGCUCAUCACAUCCUGGGGCUGAAGUAGGUCCCAAGGGUAUGGCUGUUCGCCAUUUAAAGUGGUACGCGAGCUGGGUUUAGAACGUCGUGAGACAGUUCGGUCCCUAUCUGCCGUGGGCGCUGGAGAAUUGAGGGGGGCUGCUCCUAGUACGAGAGGACCGGAGUGGACGCAUCACUGGUGUUCGGGUUGUCAUGCCAAUGGCACUGCCCGGUAGCUAAAUGCGGAAGAGAUAAGUGCUGAAAGCAUCUAAGCACGAAACUUGCCCCGAGAUGAGUUCUCCCUGAGACUUUAAGUCUCCUGAAGGAACGUU
rnacentral:rRNA from 1 species